rnacentral:rRNA from 1 species
UACGUAGGGUGCAAGCGUUGUCCGGAAUUAUUGGGCGUAAAGAGCUUGUAGGCGGUUUGUCGCGUCUGCUGUGAAAUUUCGGGGCUCAACCCCGAACUUGCAGUGGGUACGGGCAGACUAGAGUGUGGUAGGGGAGACUGGAAUUCCUGGUGUAGCGGUGAAAUGCGCAGAUAUCGGGAGGAACACCUAGUGGCGAAGGCAGCUGC